CGCGCGAUACAGGGUGACAGCCCCGUACACAAAAGCGCAUGUGCUGUGAGCUCGAUGAGUAGGGCGGGACACGUGGUAUCCUGUCUGAAUAUGGGGGGACCAUCCUCCAAGGCUAAAUACUCCUGACUGACCGAUAGUGAACCAGUACCGUGAGGGAAAGGCGAAAAGAACCCCGGCGAGGGGAGUGAAAAAGAACCUGAAACCGUGUACGUACAAGCAGUGGGAGC
rnacentral:rRNA from 1 species